rnacentral:rRNA from 1 species
AUGGAAGGCUCGCCGGCGACGCGUCUCCCCGAGGCCGACGCGCUCCCCGAUGGCUUCGUCGAGAGCUCCUCCGCCGACCAGGCCCAGCCAGUCUCCUCCGCCCCCGCCCCCGCCGCCGCCGAUCCCCUGCAUCCCGCCCUCGGCCCUGAUCACGAGGGCGCCGCCCGCGCCGACGGCGAGGAAACCCUAGGCUCCCCAUCCACCCCCGCCGACGCCGCCGAUGCCCUGCGGAGCCUCUCUAUGGCCGCCGCCGCUUCGGAGCCGGAGCGUGCCCCCGAGCGGCAGGGGCCCGCCGCAGACAUAGGAGGUGCCAAAGAUGCAAUGAAGGAGAGUUUUGUGGUAGAGCAAUCAGAACCGCUGGCCAAUCCAAAGGAUAGUGGCGAGCCAAAGCGUAAGGUCGUGAAGCGGAACAGUAAGCUAGAGAAGGACAGGGAGUUGUUGCAACUUGCCCAGAGGUACCAUGGAGUGGUAGCGGAGAGGGAUGCAGCCAUUGCAGUUAAAGAAAAAUUAGAAUCUCUUUGUAGAGAAUUUCAGCGUCAAAACAAAAUGUUAAAGGAAGAGUGCCAAAGGGUGUCAACAGAGGGGCAGAACUUUCGGAUGGAGAUGUCCAACAAAUUCGAGAAUGCUAUGAAGGCUGUCAGUGUCAAGCUUGAGGAGCAGAAAAAUGAAUGCAUUGCUCAGUUUGAAGAGAACAAUUCGCUGAGAAAUAAACUCAAAGACCUUGCUGAUCAAUAUAAUAUCAUUCAGCAGAAAUAUGCUCAUCAGCUGAAAGAAAAGACGCUGGAACUUGAGCUUGCUGAUCUGAAAAUUCAACAGCAUCAAGCGAAAGCAGCUCAAGAACAUGCCCAAAUGGUAUUGUAUGCUGAGCAAGUUUCUCAACUUGUCACUACUGAGAAGAACCUGCGGGUGCAGCUAGCUGCUGAUGGUGAAAAAUUUCAGCAGUUUCAGGAUGCCCUGUCAAAAAGCAAUGAAGUGUUCGAAACUUACAAGAAGGAAAUGGAACAGAUGGUGAAGGCGAUAAAAGACUUUAGGAAGCAAAAUGAAGCCCUGAAGAACAAGUGCGAGAAUUCAGAUAUUGCUCUUGUGAAGCUCAUUGAGGAGCGUGAGGUGAUGAAGAAGCAACUAGACAAAUAUAAGAAUCAAAAGGACAAACUCGAGUCCCUGUGCCGGUCGCUACAGGCAGAAAGGAAACAAAGCCCAUCUGUCAGUAUUCCUAAUGAUGCCUCUAACCAAGAAGAUGUUACAAGUCAGAAACAAAGCCCAUCUUCCAGUAUUCCUGAUGACGCCUCUAACCAAGAAGAUGUUACAAGUCAGCAGCCAGAGGUAUAG